GUUUUCGUACCUUUUGUAACCGAAAGUAACCGAAUUGGUACUAGUUUUACUUUAGGUUUUAGUUUUUAGGUUGUACGGGUAAGGGGUAACUACGGAACGGUAGUUACGUUCGUUAAAAAGUAAAAAUAGGGUGUNNUAAAAGCAGGCUCACGCUUGAAUACAUUAGCAUGGAAUAAUGAAAUAGGACGUUUGAUUCUAUUUUGUUGGUUUCUAGGAUCGACGUAAUGAUUAAUAGGGAUAGUUGGGGGCAUUAGUAUUCAAUUGUCAGAGGUGAAAUUCUUGGAUUUAUUGAAGACUAACUACUGCGAAAGCAUUUGCCAAGGAUGUUUUCAUUAAUCAAGAACGAAAGUUAGGGGAUCGAAGACGAUCAGAUACCGUCGUAGUCUUAACCAUAAACUAUGCCGACUAGGGAUCGGAUGAUAUUAAUUUUUAAUGACUC
rnacentral:rRNA from 1 species